rnacentral:rRNA from 1 species
GUCGAACGCUGGCGGCGUGCUUAACGCAUGCAAGUCGAACGGUAAGGCCCUUCGGGGUACACGAGUGGCGAACGGGUGAGUAACACGUGGGUGAUCUGCCCUGCACUUCGGGAUAAGCCUGGGAAACUGGGUCUAAUACCGGAUAGGACCACUGCCUGCAUGGGUGGUGGUGGAAAGCUUUUGCGGUGUGGGAUGGGCCCGCGGCCUAUCAGCUUGUUGGUGGGGUGAUGGCCUACCAAGGCGACGUCGGGUAGCCGGCCUGAGAGGGCGACCGGCCACACUGGGACUGAGAUACGGCCCAGACUCCUACGGGAGGCAGCAGUGGGGAAUAUUGCACAAUGGGCGCAAGCCUGAUGCAGCGACGCCGCGUGAGGGAUGACGGCCUUCGGGUUGUAAACCUCUUUCAGCACCGACGAAGCGCAAGUGACGGUAGGUGCAGAAGAAGGACCGGCCAACUACGUGCCAGCCGCCGCCGUAA